UAAUUACAUAUGUGGUUGCCAGAAUGGUAAGUGAAAUCUGCACUCAAACUUUACUCUGGAAAGUGAACAGGAAUUUCAUAGUGUCAUGGUUUGACACUGGCACAAUGCCAGUGUCCCCAUGAAAAUGCAUCCUCCCCAAAUGAGUGCAAUCAGGAACAGAGCAGAGCAGGCUCAAGCUUAAAAAUAAAGAAAAGAACUUUAUUAGUCUGCUAUAAUAAAAGACACACACAGAAUCCAGGAGGAAAAGCUUCCAAAACAUUCCUCCUCCCCCCCCCCACCAUUUCCAACAAAACACAGUGAGAUAAACCCUGAAUUCCUGAGGAAGUUCCCACCCCUGAGAUAAUAAAUUCUCAGUUCAUGAAGGGAGGGAGGUGUCCCUCUUGUACCACAGUCUUCCACAGGAAACACAGUUUAAACCUCCCAUGUUUCCAUGUCACACAUGGCACCGCCUGGAACAAAUCUGCCAGUGUGACAUCCUCCUUCCACGUACACUGCUCUCACCACCGUCCAUGGACCGAAAGUGCUCAUAGGGCUCCUUUAAGGAUGCUUCACUAAGUACCAAAGAACAACAGUUUCUCAGUUUGGGACAACAGUCCCCCCCAUUUUCUCCUCCCCUGGGGCCAAGGGUCUUGUGAACAGAGAUCUUCUUCUUCCCUAAAGACAGAGGGCACCACCACACCCUCCUCAUCUUCCUCUGUUCAUUCUAUACCUGUCACUCUCAGUCGCUGAAGCAGGUCACUCCCACUCCUGCACUCUCUUCUCCCAAGUUUUUGCAUCCCCCAAAAAAUGCAGUCUCUAUGUUAAUAAUGCUUCUCUGCAGAGCAGGUCAGAUGAUUUUACCAGGUUUGUUGGCAACAGCUUCUGCAACAAAUGGCUUGUUCUGUAACAUGCAACCUGCUGUCAUCUUCAUAAAUUCAAAAUGACACUCGAAGGGCAUAUGGAAGAUGAAAGAAGAAUUCAAAUAUUUGUUGACUGAGGGCCAGACCAGUUUGCUGUUUCCUUACUGAGACACUGAGAGCAAAGGUGGUGGAGAUGCUGCUGGGGUCAGAAGACUGGAAACUUGAAGCUGACUUGCUGAAAGACAUCUUACUGCAUCUGAAAGAUACCUUUGCUUCUUUGCAUAACCCCUAGCAAAACCUUUGUGCUCUUUGAAGCUGGCAGACUGUUGUUUGCUCUAAUAGUUAUAAAGCCGGUGUUUCAGUUUCCCUCUAAAAGCUGAGUGUGAGUUUCUGUGUACACAGUAUGUGUUCAGAUGUGUAUAAUCCUUUUGAAACCACUCUCUAGGACUGUUCACUUUGUAUAACACCAGGAAUUUGAAUUUUAGUUUGUAGCUGAGUUUAGCUGCUUUUGCUGCAUAAAGUUCUUUGUUCCUGUCUUACAGUCUGCAUUUACAUUAGUAACACAAAAGCAUUUUCUAUGCUUUCUCUCUGGCAUACAUUGUAUAGGCACCAUAAUUGACUUGAAGGGUUUUUCAUCUCUGAGGUGAAUCCUUUUCCUGAAUGCUUUAGAGAAGAAUGUUAGAGGCGGCUGCGGGUACAAUCCUUCCAGAGAGUCUGUGUACAUGUUCAUGUAUAAUACUGACUACAAAUAUUUUAUUUAACCUUAUGCAACCUCAAGCAAAACAGCUUAUGGGAUAAAUAAACUGGGUUACAGAUGCAUCAGACUAUGUUUUUAUGAGUCCAUACAAAAUUUUAAAUCAUUUACUCUUUUCACCUAUUCUCUCUUUGUCUUUUGUUGCUCCAUAUAUUGUCACAGUGACAAGAUAAGUUUGUUUAUCCAGAAAUAAAUUAUAAAUGUAUUUAUAAUUUAUAAAUGUACUUACUUUGUGUUGCUCUUCAUCUCUUCUUCCUCCUAAGGAUCCAAACAAUAAGACAGUAAUGCACAUGCUGCACAUAUCCUAAUGCAUGUUGGCUGCUGAAUAAAUUGUUUUUGCUA